CUGAAUAUCGUUUUAAAAUGUUCUAGGACAUUUGAUAUCUUUGUCCAUCCAAGCAAUUUCUCUUCCAUGAUAACAGAAUGGAAAAGCUCCAUUUUCAACAGCUGUGUGUUAUUCUUUUGAAAAUAAUUGUUACGUAUCUGGAAUAACUUGGAACGAUAAAGGAACAAACAAUGUAUCAUAUAGUGUGCUUAUCUGAGAAGCCAAAGAGGUUGAGAGAUCACAGAGGGAGAGGAAGAGGGAGGAGCAGAUUCUCUGUAGAGUGCAGAGCCCUACACGGGGCUCGAUCCCAGGACCCCGGGAUCAGGACCUGAGCUGAAGGCUGACACCUGACUUACUGAGUCACCCAGGCACCCUGAGCCAAAGACAUUUUUGAGUGAGACAGAGAAACCUUGCAUUUCCCGGGUCAGAACGCACCACUGCAGUUUAUGAUGAGGCAGGCAUAUUCCAAAACACCUGAAGGCUCACAACGAAUUGCAAGGCAUAUUUUACGAGUUCCCAUUCCCUGUGUGUUUCCAGAGACUGCACCCAUGCACCGGUCCCAGCUGAACAAAGGCCUCCAGUAGUACUGACGAUGGGGCAGAGCUGUGGAGCCAUGUAUCCCAUGAGAAGCAGGGAGAUGCCUCUCCCUGCACAACAGAAAGGACCAAACAAUGGCCAUAAAAGAAAAGAGUAGCUGGUAUCAAUGCACCAACAAACUGCCUGUGGACUGCCAACAGAACCCACGGUUAUUUCUGGGAGGAAGCUGCCAAAAGCACAGGAAAUAGUAUGAAAAUUGAAGAAAAUACAGAAAAAGCGGUGAGGAGACUGACAGACUGCCGCUGGGACCAAAGGCGCGGAGGGAACAGCUGCUACCAUCGGAGGAGCUACAUUUACAGAUAAAAUACAAACACCAGGACUGAAGUCCAGAAGCUGAGCGGCCGCGAGAGGGUGGGAGUGAAGAGACGGGGACAGUGCCGCCCCCCCCCCCCCAGGGACACCACCGCCGUUCACGGUCGGGGUACACGGCAUGUUACCCCGCAGCUUCACUCACAGGAGAUGUGGCUUCUGGCUUGGACACCGGUGCUUUAAAGGUAGAGAUACUUGUGGAACCAUCUGCUCUCUUAUCUGCAGCCGCUCCCAAGGACAAACAUUCGAGGUAAUCCGGUGGGGGGAUGACGACGCGGCUCUUCUCAGACAGGUUCACGGUGCUGAUGCUUCUCACCGGGGCCGGGCUACCGACCGACGAGCAGAGAAUACAAGUUACAGAAGAUCCUGCCACCUGAAUCUCAAACACCCUAGAUAUCCCAGGGCCAGAACUACAGUAGAUGAACCAUCAAACAGGGCGUGAGACAGGGGAGGACGAGGCCUGCGUGUCGCACACAGUUUGCUACAUGAAAAAUUCCGUGAAGUUUUUACUGGUUUAUAAAUGUACGCUCGAAAAAACUGAAUUAAGAACUGGCUCUUGAUUAGUUUAAGAUCAGUAAGAAAAUGAAGACUAUAGCAAAAGUCUUAGCAAAACAUUGAGCAUUUCAGAUUUGAAAAACAAAACAAAAGCCCCCCCCCAAAAACCCUCAGCAUUUUAACAUCAUGAAUACAAAAUGCAGUUUUCACUCCGUGGCCUGGUGGCAGGUGGGCUGUUCUGCCAUGGAUGAGGACACACAGAUGACACACAGCAGGACUUGGAGGGGGCAUCCAGUGUGGUGCUCAAAGGUCUGCAGGGACAGCUGGCUGGGUUAGAGGGUUUCUUUGAGAUGGGAAACACUGAGGACGGGGCAGUUCAGGGUAAAGAUGAGAAGUGCAGUGUGGAAGUGUCAUCUCUUUCUUUCCUUCUUGUGGCAGGAAGGGUAGAGGGGGGAGGGGGAGGGGGAGAGAGAGUGUGAGAAAGAGAGAGAGAGACCCCUAAGCAGACGCCAUGCCCUGCAGGGAGCCCGACUUGGGACUGGAUCUCAUGACCCUGAGAUCGUGACCUCAGCUGAAAUCAAGAACUAGACCCUUAACCGACUGAGCCACCCAGGUGCCCUGGAUGUGUCACUUCUGAGGACCCACAGGGGAACCAACUACAGCAGCUGACACACAUACAAAUAUUCAGAGCUAGGCGUGGAAAAGACCUUCCUGGGUUCCAGCCUUGGCUCCACCUUUCUGUGCCUCAGUGUCCUCAAUUUUAAAGUGGGGACCUACCUCAUAAGGUUGUUUUAAGAAUUAAACAAGCUAAUCAGUGUAAGGCAAUUUGGCACUUCCUAAGCAGUAAUGGCGAUGACGCUCACCUUGGAUUUAGUGAGUUGGUGGGGGGUGGGGGGUGGGGAGGCAGUGGGUGCUUCCAGAGGGCUAACAGGAGGGUGAGGAGCAGAGUCUGGGAGCAUGUCCCCACAGCAGAAACCACCAAGGGAAGAGCUGUGUGGGGUAACAGUCCUCCUUUUGUACUCUCCUACACGACUGGAGGUCUCCCUGUGGGGCUACUACACAGUCUAGAUAGAAUUCUGAUAUGCCCAGAAACACGAGAUCAAAGGUGAGUUUUUUGUCACUGGGAAACAGGAGCCACAGUCAGGUCCUACCUUGGUGUGGGCACGCUCAGGGCCUCCUCUGCAUCUUCUUCCAGCAACUUUGUGUAGGAUGCUGGGAACCAGCCCCUCCUACAGGUGAGGAAGUAGGAAAAAAAGGCCUGAUUGUGGGGUCAGCAGCUGACAAGUGAAGGAUAAGCAGGGUACAGAACAGCUCAGACAUAGCUCAGGGGCAGACCAGUCCAUUUUCACCACAUCACACAAUGUGCAUUUUAUAUACAGCAUUAGUUUCAUUUGGAUUACUUUUUUUGGCCUUUUUCCACAUUUAUUUAAUAGCUGAAUAAGCUACCCAGAAAACCAAUUUAACCAGCUUAUAGUAAGGCCUAUGCACAUACUCAUGGCUGAAAUGACGAUGCUGGCAUUUAAACUAUUUAUGAGCUAAAUCUUAACAAAAUCCACCUGAUGUGCAGAUUAUCCUUGAGAAAUCCGAAGUUUUGUUUUUUUUUUUAAACAAGAAUUAUUUAAACUACUUUCAGAGUUGACUUCAUAUGACCUGUUCAAGUAUCAAAUUCAUCUAUAUAUGCACAGACACACAAACACAUAUAGAAAAUAGCCUGGGCCAGAGUAACUGCAAUGAAGUAAACCAGAAGCAUAACUAAACCAUGAACUUAACUUUGGUAAAAAUGCUCCUGUGACCACAAAGACAAGUUGCCACUGAAAGGAGGUAUGACAGCUCUCUGAAGCCCUGGGCAGCCCUGACCACCGUGGGGACAGCAUCUGUCCUGAGACUUACACUUUGGUGGUGUCGUGCUCUCCAUAAAGCCAGCCGUCCUUCUCCUCUGGGACAAGCAGCGUGAGGAUGUCUCCCUGGGCGAAGCUGAGCAGGGUCUGGUUGGAGCCGGCGGUGUGCGGAAAAAUGGUUUUUACUUUCUGCUUCUUCAUCAUGUUCAGUCCAGUUGCAACAGAAACUGAUCGCUGUAAACUGGGAUCAUCUGAAGAAUCUGGUGAAAAUGCACACAGCAGUGGUCACCUUUCAAGGACUGAUAACAAGUUCCAACAAACCAACCCCAGAAAAGCCACCCACUCUCGCCUGCCAGCACUCCUGCUGCUGCUCCGCGUGUGCUGUAUUUCCACACCUUGAACUCUGCCUGGAUGGACAGGGACCACAAGGAACUGAGGCAGAACCACAGCCUGAGGUCUCCCACCGAGGAGGACCCUUGGGGCUAAAUGCUCUUUUCCAGGUGGAGAGGACUCAGUGCGUGCCAAGCCUCACCUGCACUCUGAUUUAAUCAGAGGCAAAAUGACGCAUCGCUAGAGGGUCUGAUGCUUUCCUCGCCCUACUCUCUCCCAACACGAACCCCAAGGCAGCGUAGGGCAUCAAUGCAAAUCCCACUAAGAACAAGAGGAGACUGGAGAUGCAGAUGUUCUCGCUGUGCAACUGCUCAACAUCUCACCUGCAAAUGCAGCAGGGACCAGCACGUUUAUGGAACCCUCCCUAAGUGCCAGGCCACGCUCUCAAUGCUUCACGGCUUCUGAAGGAAGGCGUGGCUAUCGGUCACCGUCCGCAGUGACUCACCGGGAUCCCAGCUAGCAGGCCAGCAUGGGGUGUGGGUGGCCUGACUCCACAGUCACUGCACCAUGUGAAGAGUGCCUUGCUGUACCUUUGGGUCUCAGUUCCGGCACCAGCUGAUACUGACCACUCCAAAGAAACAGAAUUGCUCUCCUGAAACUCUUCUCUCUGAUUUCACUCAGCAGCUGCAAAUGCUGCAGUCUUUGUGCUCUCUCUAGCACGUGGCUCCAUCUGGUUUGAUCGCCAUGACUUUCAUGCCUUAGGGUCCCGUGAGAUACCCCACACGGAGAGGGGUCUCUGGGUGCCAGACUCUGUCUACACAGAGCGGAGCCUAAGCAAAGCUCUGAAAUCUCUGCAAACAGUAACUUAUCCUGAUUUAUUGAAAAAGCAUCAACAGAGUUAAGAAACUUAAGCAGUCAGAACUUAAGUGUGCAGAAAGCACGAAGUUCUCUGUUAGACAUGAUAAAAAAUACUAAGCUUAGUGGUAAGAUGAAUAACCAUAAUUUUGUCACGUGAACUUUUAUAGUUUGUUUUAUUGAAAAAGAAAUUUCAUUACAACUGCCAACAAAUAUGGCACAUGAUAUGAGGUUCUUUGCACAUUAUAUCCCAUUUUAAAAUUAACACCUUUCCAUAGUAAGUUUCCUUCCUAUAAACAUCAGUCAGUACAUGGAAUUAGAAUUUGUCAAAGAAAUGUGUCCUUAUAAAAUGUCUUAUGGUUUUAUAAUAAACUCAGACCUUUAUUUACUUUGAAGUAUAAGUUUCAAUAAGGCAGAGGUGCCUGGGUGGCUUAGUUGGUUAACCUUCUGCCUUUAGCUCAGGUCAUGAUCCUGGGGUCCUGGGAUUGAGCCCCGAUCAGGCUCCCUCUCCCUCUGCCCCUCCUCCCUGCUCGUGCCCUCUCAAAUAAACAAAAUCUUCAAGAAAAAAAAAAAAUUGGGGGGGGGGGGCUGGGUAGCUCAGAUCAUGAUCUCAGGGUCCUGGGAUCGAGUCCCACAUCGGGCUCUCUGCUCAGCAGGGGGCCUGCUUCCCCCACCUACCCCUCUCUGCCUGCUUCUCUGCCUACUUGUGAUCUCUGUCUGUCAAAUAAAUAAAUAAAAUCUUAAAAAAAAUUUUUUUUUUCAACAAGGCAAUGUUAAAUGUGUGCUACCACAUAUGUUUAUUUACCUCUACCUCAGGGUAACACUUAUCCAAAAUAUUAAAAAAUUUAAAAAGGUGCUUUAUUUAUUUUUACCAAGCUGAUUUUAUAGACUUUAUUUGGGACAGGGGGAUGCAAACAGAGGGAGGGGCAGAGGGAAAGAAUCUCAAGCCAACUUCCCACUGAGCCCAGAGAAUGACUGGGGGCUCAAUCCCACGACCCCAAGAUCACGACCCAAAACCAAGAGUCAGAUGCCCAACUGCGUGCGCUACUCAGGCACCCCUAAAAAGGUAUUUUAAAAGAAAUCAAAAUAAAUAUCUUACCUGUUGAA